CAAGAGGCCAAACAGCAAAAACAAGACUAAGAGAUUCAUGGGUUGCAAAAUAUGAUCAAGUUAUUACUGCAGUGAUCGGAACCUGGAAUGAGGCCAGAAGAACUAGAAGCUUUAUUACAAGACACCCAACAGUCUCCUAUUGAUGCGAAUAGCGGCCAUGGAUCAACACAUUUUCCGAACUUAGAUGUGGGUAACAAUGAAGAUUAAGCUGACUAUUAUUGCGGUUUAUUGGCUAAGAUAGAGUGCUAUUUAGAAUCUUUACAUGUAUGGUUGACUAAUGAUUUUUAUUAGAAGAUACUUUUAUUGGCUAAGUG